GGAGGGCGCGAGCGUUAAUCGGAAUUACUGGGCGUAAAGCGCACGUAGGCGGCUUGGCAUGUCGGGUGUGAAAUCCCCGGGCUCAACCUGGGAACUGCAUCCGAAACUGCCUUGCUAGAGUAUGGGAGAGGGAAGCGGAAUUUCCGGUGUAGCAGUGAAAUGCGUAGAUAUCGGAAGGAACAUCAGUGGCGAAGGCGGCUUCCUGGACCAAUACUGACGCUCAGGUGCGAAAGCGUGGGGAGCAAACAGGAUUAGAUACCCUGGUAGUCCACGCCCUAAACGAUGAGAACUAGAUGUCGGGAGGGUUUGCCUUCCGGUGUCGCAGCUAACGCGUUAAGUUCUCCGCCUGGGAAGUACGGCCGCAAGGUUG
rnacentral:rRNA from 1 species